rnacentral:rRNA from 1 species
CAGUCGCCGCGGGAAUACGUAGGGUGCAAGCGUUAAUCGGAAUUACUGGGCGUAAAGCGUGCGCAGGCGGUUAUAUAAGACAGAUGUGAAUCCCCGGGCUCAACCUGGGAACUGCAUUUGUGACUGUAUAGCUAGAGUACGGCAGAGGGGGAUGGAAUUCCGCGUGUAGCAGUGAAAUGCGUAGAUAUGCGGAGGAACACCGAUGGCGAAGGCAAUCCCCUGGGCCUGUACUGACGCUCAUGCACGAAAGCGUGGGGAGCAAACAGGAUUAGAUACCCCUGUAGUCCCUGUCUCUUAUACA